UGUGUUCUACUGCAAGACGAGCGGACCACAGCCAUCUACCUCCUCCUAGCAUUCAAGUCCACCUGUGGACGUCACAAAGGUUUCAAAACCAGCAGGCUCAGCUUCAUCUGAGUACCGAGGAAGGCGCUCUGUCUGAGAUUUCAACAGAAUUAGCCAAAUUGGCUCACGAGGACAUAGGACAGAACACUAGAACCUUUAGGAUGAGAUACGAGAGUACAGAGGUCUGCCAUCUACACUAACCUCAGUGAAUCCAGUGACCUUGUGGUGGAAUGACACUGCCAAUGCUAUCAAAUUUGGCAACCAGGGCAACUUCAAGCCACUGUUCACCAAAACCAAGAUGUGACAAUGUUUGUUCCAUAUAAUGGGAUGUCAGCGACGUGGGCGUCCCAAGAAGACGACACCCUAAGAACGCUGUCAGCACGUAAGGUACCAUAAGGCUGACUUCAACAGAUUUGCAGGACAAUACGGCCAACGGCUCUCUGCCCAGACAAUCUGGAACAUACUGCAAACAGCCAAUCUCCAGUCUCAUAUGCCUUCCAGGAGGCCUGCCAU